GCGCCCUUAGCUCAGCUGGAUAGAGCACGUCCCUUCUAAGGAUGUGGUCGAGGGUUCGAAUCCUUCAGGGCGUGCCA
rnacentral:tRNA from 1 species